AGAGAAUUUAGUGUUUAUGUAAUGACUAUUUACAAUAUCUAAAGAAAUUGUGUUAAACCUAUGCAAUUGUGUUCGCUACUGAAACUAUUGGAAAUAUGAAAGAAAUUAUAUUCUUAUUUAUUUUUGUAUUUGUUUUCCCCACAAAAACUGAAGCUGCAUCGUUACCAAGAAUGAAUAGAGGUCAACCGAUAAAAUCUUUCGCAUCGAAGGCUUUAAAACUGCGAGGCGAAGCAUCGAUGACUUACGAUGAAAAUAUGAGUAUAAGAAAAUCACCAGAGCGCGUCAUACCAGUUUACAUUAUAACGAGAUCGAAACCAGUAAAGAGAAGUGAUCCGAAAAAGUACGAAAAACUAUUUGAUUCCAACGGAAUGAUACUUGUAUCAGGCCCUAGUGGGAUAAAGACAGUUUCAAAGCAAGAUAACGUCAAGACAGGACGGCGGUCAGCGCAGGCGUUUUUAAAAAAUAAACGUAAAAAAAUGGACCUCAUUAACAAACAAUUGAAUAAGAAAUUGUUGGCUCGAUCCAAUUCUAAUAGACGGAGUUUUAGACGCCGUGCUAACAAUGAUAAUUAUAAUAAAAUAUUUAUAUUUUA